rnacentral:rRNA from 1 species
UACGAAGGGGGCUAGCGUUGCUCGGAAUUACUGGGCGUAAAGCGCACGUAGGCGGUCUUUUAAGUCGGUGGUGAAAUCCUGGAGCUCAACUCCAGAACUGCCUUCGAUACUGGAAGACUUGAGUCCGGGAGAGGUGAGUGGAACUGCGAGUGUAGAGGUGAAAUUCGUAGAUAUUCGCAAGAACACCAGUGGCGAAGGCGGCUCACUGGCCCGGUACUGACGCUGAGGAGCGAAAGCGUGGGGAGCGAACAGG